GCGUCCAGGAAGGAAGUGACAGAAGACGAAUGGGAAAAGGAGAACAGCUCACAGCGUUUGAAACAUCGCGGCACCACUUUAAGAUAAAAACAUAGACCUGAAUGGCAUCAUCCAGUAUCCAAGGAAACCAUGCAGUUUUGAACAUCUGGAAGCCUGAUUUAUUGGAGAUUACAAAUGUACAGUGUAACAUAGGUGUGGAGAGCGAGAAGAUCAGGAUUGUCAAUGCUGUCAUUGCUUUUACUGGAAUCCCCAGCAUGAAUUGAAGGUUUGACCAGGGACAAAGAAGCAAAUGCUAUAGAUUAACAUUCACAUGUGGUAGGAAUUCUACUAGUGCAUGUGGAGAGAAGAUAAACAUGGCUGCUGCAUGGAGUCAUAAACCUCAGAGGAAGCUGAGAAUGAGAUGAAAUGUAUAUGUAACCCUUGUGUACAGCAAGUUUGGCAAGAAAUAAAAAGUGUACUUGGCAGAUUAUGAUAAGGUUUCUCUGUGUUUACUGAUAUAGUCUCAGGUUUGCAUUGUGUGAUGAAUAAUAGGUUGGGGGAAGAUAUCCUUUGUUUAUUCAUUCAUUUCAUCAACAAAUACUUAAUGAGUGCCUACUAUAUGCCAUGCCACAAAGAGUAUAAACCUAGAGACAGAAUGGUGAGUCACAUAGACAGUGCUCCUGUUACAAUUAUUUGAACUGAGUUAACAAUACUUCAAGGGUCCAUGUCUAAUUUACUGUCUAGGUUCUCAACAAAAUUUCUGGAUA
rnacentral:antisense_RNA from 1 species